rnacentral:lncRNA from 1 species
UACAACUUUACAUGAUGUUAGAUAGUUUUGGUCGGAAAUCUUGUAGCAAAUGUUAAAUUGUUUGCUUGUGGAGAUCUGUUUUACCAGGUUUUUGCAUUAAGUAGGUUCAAAACUUUUUGCAGCUCCUUAGCUACGUUGUUUUGGGAUGUUGCCACAUCCAACUAGCUUGUGUUGCCCGUCAUCUCCUGGAUAUGAGAACUCUUUUCUUCCAUUAUUUUCACACUAAACAUCAUUCUCAUCAACUACAAGGGCUCUCUUUUAAUUUUUCUUCUCUAAUUUUGUGGCUCCAUAUUUCACAUUGUUAAUUACUCGUGUGCAUAAUGCAUUUUCUUAUCUUCAAUUUGCUUAAUGCUUGGAAUUGGCUACCUGAUUGAGCUAGUUGAAUGAUGAUAUCUUAACUGGUUUAGCUUGUUGGAUGACAUCUCAAGGACAAGACUGUUAACUAGUCCAUACCAAACUGAAAGAAUUGGUUAGAUUGGAUGUUUGAAGAAUUUUAAGUUUCUUAUUACUACUAAUUGUUGGCUUUAGCUGUUAUUCUUAAGCAGGAUGUGUUGCAUAGAAACUUGGCUUUGAAAGACUCUUUGUUUUAGCCUAUUGUCUGUUGGAUUUUGUUCAUUGUGGAUGAGCAUUGGUGUUAAAAAGGGAAGUACAACGAAUGAGUGACAAUUUGGGUUGGAAUUCUGAAGAUACUUGGUAAUUUCCAGGUCCAAUGCAAAGGUAAUUGCCAGGUUCGAAUUCAUAUUAGAUGAAGAUUUUUGCUAGAGGUAUACAUGUAACUCUUAAAAUUGUUGAUUUUACUCUAGCGAUUUACGACCAAACUUGUGUUCAUCUUUGUUUUUGAACACCAAUUAAAAUAGAUAUACCUUAGAAAUGAUCGGCAAAGAGGAAAUCCUAGUCAAGAAACUAGAAAAAAAUUUCCAUGAUCAUGAACUUGAACUUGAACAUAGAGAAAUUAUUGAGCUACUUGGUGCUUAUUUGGUUACAUGGCAUUUCGUGUCUUUAAGCAGUUUAUUUCAG